GAUGAACGCUGGCGGCGUGCCUAACACAUGCAAGUCGAACGAAGCACCUUACCUGAUUCUUCGGAUGAAAGUCUGGUGACUGAGUGGCGGACGGGUGAGUAACGCGUGGGUAACCUGCCCUGUACAGGGGGAUAACAGCUGGAAACGGCUGCUAAUACCGCAUAAGCGCACGAGGAGACAUCUCCUGGUGUGAAAAACUCCGGUGGUACAGGAUGGGCCCGCGUCUGAUUAGCUGGUUGGCAGGGUAACGGCCUACAAGGCAACGAUCAGUAGCCGGUCUGAGAGGAUGAACGGCCACAUUGGAACUGAGACACGGUCCAAACUCCUACGGGAGGCAGCAGUGGGGAAUAUUGCACAAUGGGGGAAACCCUGAUGCAGCAACGCCGCGUGAGUGAAGAAGUAUUUCGGUAUGUAAAGCUCUAUCAGCAGGGAAGAUAAUGACGGUACCUGACUAAGAAGCUCCGGCUAAAUACGUGCCAGCCGCCGCCGUAA
rnacentral:rRNA from 1 species